rnacentral:rRNA from 1 species
AUGAAUGCUCUCUGUUGGAACUGCCGUGGAGCGGGUAAACCUGCGGCAGUUCGAGAGCUUCGCGAUUUUGCGAGGAAGUUUACCCCUACCCUCCUAUGUAUUGUUGAGACACAAAUAGAAGGAGGCAGGGUAGAAGCUCUAGCUAGCUCGAUAGGCUAUGAUGAUAACGCAUAUGCAGUUGACAGUCAAGGUCGUAGUGGUGGUAUUGGACUUUUC